AUUGAACGCUGGCGGCAGGCUUAACACAUGCAAGUCGAGCGGGGUGAUGGUGCUUGCACUAUCACUUAGCGGCGGACGGGUGAGUAAUGCUUAGGAAUCUGCCUAUUAGUGGGGGACAACAUCUCGAAAGGGAUGCUAAUACCGCAUACGUCCUACGGGAGAAAGAAGGGGAUCACUUGUGACCUUGCGCUAAUAGAUGAGCCUAAGUCGGGUUAGCUAGUUGGUGGGGUAAAGGCCUACCAAGGCGACGAUCUUUAGCGGGUCUGAGAGGAUGAUCCGCCACACUGGGACUGGGACACGGCCCAGACUCCUACGGGAGGCAGCAGUGGGGAAUAUUGGACAAUGGGGGGAACCCUGAUCCAGCCAUGCCGCGUGUGUGAAGAAGGCCUUAUGGUUGUAAAGCACUUUAAGCGAGGAGGAGGCUCUUUUGGUUAAUACCCAAGAUGAGUGGACGUUACUCGCAGAAUAAGCACCGGCUAACUCUGUGCCAGCCGCCGCGGUAA
rnacentral:rRNA from 1 species